CCAGCAGUCCCCUUUUUUUCCAGACAAAGGGUUGUGAACCCUCCUGGGGAUGAGGCCUGGUCUUGUGGAAACUCAACUUAGCUUCGCGGGGCUGACGGCUCUGGCCCAGGGUGGUAUGUAAU
rfam:Pteropus vampyrus cont1.112172, whole genome shotgun sequence.